rnacentral:rRNA from 1 species
UGGAGAGUUUGAUCCUGGCUCAGAUUGAACGCUGGCGGCAUGCCUUACACAUGCAAGUCGAACGGCAGCACGGGAGCUUGCUCCUGGUGGCGAGUGGCGAACGGGUGAGUAAUACAUCGGAACGUACCCAGGAGUGGGGGAUAACGUAGCGAAAGUUACGCUAAUACCGCAUAUUCUGUGAGCAGGAAAGCGGGGGAUCGCAAGACCUCGCGCUCUUGGAGCGGCCGAUGUCGGAUUAGCUAGUUGGUGAGGUAAAGGCUCACCAAGGCGACGAUCCGUAGCAGGUCUGAGAGGAUGAUCUGCCACACUGGGACUGAGACACGGCCCAGACUCCUACGGGAGGCAGCAGUGGGGAAUUUUGGACAAUGGGGGCAACCCUGAUCCAGCCAUGCCGCGUGAGUGAAGAAGGCCUUCGGGUUGUAAAGCUCUUUCGGCGGGGAAGAAAUGGCAACGGCUAAUAUCCGUUGUUGAUGACGGUACCCGCAUAAGAAGCACCGGCUAACUACGUGCCA